rnacentral:tRNA from 2 species
GGUUGUAUAGUGUAGCGGUUAUCACCUUGGAUUCUGACUCCUUCCAGUAACCCCGGUUCGAUUCCGGGUACGACCU